AAUAUGUGUCAAUCGAACAAGCAAAUGAAACGGUGGGAGCAAGCAAUUAAUACUAAAUAGUAAAAGAAGCCGUAUGGUAUUAAACACACGCCGCUUCACUUCAUCUUCCCCCUAACCCCUCCAAUCCCAUAAAAUCCACCACACCCUACAGAGCUCCGACGAAGCAUCAAGUGUUACAGCCAUAACAGAAGCAGAUUCACAUCAGAAAAUUACUCCGUCUCCGGUAACUUCCGGUUUAGGCUUGUUAGUGAUGCUGUUGUUACAUUGACGACCUUUCUGGAUAAGCAAAUUGGAUUUCAAUGAUCGGCGAGGUUUAGUAGUUUCAAUGUUUGAUUGUGAAAUAUUUGUUAAUUUGUGUUUGAUAGUGGAUUUGUUGUGUUUUGAAAGCGCAGCGUCACAAGCGAGCAAGCAUUGACUUUGUUCAGGAGCCUUCAACGAUUGUAUAUUGCUUUGGAUGGAAGUUUUGAUUCAUGAAUCAUUUUUAGAUUUUAUUUAAUGUGAGUCAAAUGCGGUGGCAAUGGCUAGGUGUGAAAUGAGAAGCAAAAGAUCUAUUAAAGGCUCUUUCGAUGCAAAUCCAAUAUUACACAAACCUACUACCGUAGCUGCUUUGAUUCGUAGGAAAGGGUUUUUGAAGUAACUAGCGUUAUGGAAGAAGUUGCGCCACCCGAACAUAGUGCAACAGCUUCCUGUUUUGGAAUACUCAGACCUGGCUAUUAGUACAUAUCUUUUAUUGUUUAAAGAAGUCUUGGUUGUCUGCUGCAAAGAAGUUUUGGUUGUCUGCUGCUACGGUCUUCAUGACAUAGACAUUUUUGGAUAUAAAGUAUAUUAUACCAAGUUCACAUGUCUUGAAUUAACAUGUUAUUAGUUUGCCUAUCUCUUUAGUGAUUUCUUAUAAUUGUAUA